UGUAUUGGUUUACCUGCAUGUCAGUAUGACCCUUUAUCAACAUCAAAGAACUGUAGACAUGUUUAUAAAUCCUCUAAAAUAAAUCCUCUGAUUACAAGUACAAAAUUUUUCUGGAAUCUGAUUACGUAAUCCAGAUAACAUGUAACUGGUAAUUACCCAGCACUGGUUACAGGGCAGAUAAGAGUUUGUCGUUAGCUUGUUGCUAGGCUAACAGUGUAAUACUUUGGCUGCGUCUGAAAUCUUAGGCAGCUUACUUGAUGCUUCGCUGCCUUAUCCGGCAAUGACUUUACAGACAGUGUUUGCACACAAAGGUACCUCACAAAACUGAUUUCAUUUACGAAGCAGCAUGGUUGUUUAAUUAUUGACAACAAAAUAGUGAUAGCUUUGAUGAUAACUUAGUAUAGUAUAGUAUAGAAAUAACACUUAAGGAAAAACCUACAUUCACACAAAAAUCUUUUUUCAUUUUUUUUUUUUUUUUCUAGUUCAACUGUCAUGGAAUUGAAUGCACAGGAUAUCAGGAAGUGAAGGAUAAAUCUGGGCUGCCUUCUAAUAUGAAUCAAAUCAAGGCAUCUCAGGAGACAGGAAGUGAAGGUUCUCCACUGACUUCUAUCAUAAAAAAUGGCAAUUCAUUUGGAACUAUUUCAGGCCUUUCCUGUUGCUUCGUGUCUUUUGUAAUACUUUUAACUAACAAUGGAUGUUCCUUAAUGACCUCAUCCUCCAGGAAGUGACAUCAGCGCAAACUUUAUGAUUUCGAUGGAAGCAGCAACUCGAAGCUAAUUAUCAAACGCCCGCGCCCCCUAAAGUGAAGCUUUCCCUAGAGUGCCACAGAUUGCUGGCAUUUAUUUCGGAUGUCACAGAGUGAGCAUGUAGGUGGAGAGACACCGUCAGUAUGAACACACAUGGGAGGACACUGCGAUUAUAGCAGUUCCUUUUUGAAAAUAUUAGCUACUUCUUCAUCCGCACUCUAUUAUCACAAUUACAUAUCAUAUUUCCUCCAGGACCCGAUGGCUUCGUGAACGAGAGCUCCUGAAUUCCUCAGUGAAGAAUUUCAAACAACUUGUUUUGAGAAUGUUAAAUGCUAUUGUUGGGCCCAAGAGCUUCAGCGAUGAUUUCCACUCACAGUCACGGCUUAUUGUUUUCAAAAGCAUACCAGGGAGAGGAUGCAUUUUUUAUUUGGUUGUGUGCGCGUCGUGAAUGAGCGUGUUAAAUAUUUAAUCAGGUGGACGCGGUCUGGAGGCCGGGAGUGGAGGUUUGGCUGGUGCCUGUCGUCAUGGCUCCGUACGAGAAUGACGACCCUAACGAGGAGUUCUGACCCUAGAUAGCCUGCAGUGCCGGCUGGUCGUGUUGGCUUUAAACACAGCGCCUGUCCACUCAUGGUUCCUCUUUAAUUAAGGUCUCAAUGGGGUUUUUUAAACAUUACUGAUUGUAGAGAGCAACAAGGAAUGUCCUCAUGCAGGGAGAUCUCCGAUCCAUUUUGUAUCCCUUUGACCUUACAGAGAGCAAGGGGUUUGGAGAAUGCAAUUCAUAAGUCGUCAGGUUUUUUUUUUUUUUUUUCUUAAAGAAAUACACUAAAUUGAUCAAAUAACACUAAAGACAUUUAUUAUAAAAUUGAAAUAAAAAUGUAAAACUUGUAAUUUUCCAAAAACAUUUUUUUCCCAAACAGACUAAGGCACUACUCAGUGCUUCUAUAGUGACAACAUCAAAGACACAAUAAUCUUACUGAUGUACAGCUCAACCAUACAAACCUUUUCAGCUCUGCUCAUCUCCCACAAUGCCUUGCAUCAUCAUCAGGUGUCUGACUAGCACGCAUCGAGGUUGAAGGGCACGUUACCAAUUUCUCUCUUUUUAGACGUAGAGCUCGCUGGCUUUUUUGUGCUUUCAACUUUCAAGUUUCCUGUGAACUUCACAUCAAACGGCUGAAGCCCUGUGCACUGGCUUUGAAGUGCUGGGGAGAGCUUAGCUCUUGUGCUGGCGCUGGUAAAAAGC